rnacentral:lncRNA from 1 species
CUGGGGUGCAGGCAGAGCUGUCGGCUGAACAUCGCAUUGGGGUGUAUUCAUGAGCUGCAUAAAUGGGAAUCAAGCCCCUCUCCACCCUUGCAGUCUGUCGAAGAAGGGAUGUGAGAGAUUAAGGUGCAAGAGUUAAAAAUAAAAAAAUAAAAUAAAAUAUAAAAAGCUUGAACGCAACGGGCCCAACUCUCCCGUCUCAUCCCCCACCUAACCUAAAGGGUGCCAACAGGGUCCAACUGGGAUGGAUGCAGGACAAGACUCCGUGAGAGCGACUCAUUUGAGCUCUUAGUACGUUAAUGAAACCAGACAUGACAAGACACAUCAGGACUGAACAAGGGUGUAGACAAAAGGGCUUGGAGGCCAUGCUGGACUCCUAGGAGCUGCCCAGGCCUUGAAGCGGGGAGGGAACAGCAGGGAUCUGGUUCUCCAAAGUGCUGUGUGCAUGGUCACAUCUCAAUGUCUCCAAGUGGCUCUCCGGGCAGUCUCUUGAAGGGGACUGGAGGUGGUCAAGCUCAGUCAUGAGGCCUUCCAAGGAUGUGGCGAGGCCUAGCUGCUGUAGGAUGAGGGAUGGCAAGUGCUCUGCACCCGCUCUUCUCACCCAGACCAAAAUUGGCUUUGUUAGUCCCAACAAAGAGCUCUCAUCUCACUUCAGCAUCCAAGUGGGACAGGUCCUCGCUGGGAGAGGAUGAGCACAGGGAUGGGGAAAGCCACCACCAGGUACAUUGCAAGUAAUAAUUGAUGCCUAGGAAGCAUCUGGCAACAGCACAGCCAAG